AUGUAUUUAGAUUUGUGUGCAAACAUAAAAUUCAAAGAAUUUGCACACAUGAAUGAGGAGACUGGAAUACCUGAGCUCUGUCCAUGACCAGUGAAAGAGAACUUGUCAAACAUUCGACCAACUCUCGUCAUGAUUGCGGUUCGCCAUGUAUUAUCAGUUUUCUCUUGUAAGAUCAGUAUAUGUUGAAGACUAAGGACAACCUCAGCCAUGUUAGGACGUUGCUUUGGAUGGUCAUCCAAACAUCUUUCUGCUAAUUGAACAAACUGCUUCAAACAUUUUGGAGUUAUUUCACCCCUUAUAUCAGAAUCAAUUAUGUCCUUCAAACGACCCUCUUUCACAGCAUCUUGAGCCCAUGUUGCUAAUCCCCACUCAAGACUAUCAUCCACUGCCCUCUUUCGACAUAACACUUCCAACAAUACUACCCCAAAAGCAUACACAUCAGACUUAGGCGUUAGCUUUCCGGUGGCGUAAUAAUUUGGAUCAAUAUAACCAAAAGUGCCUUUAACAAGUGUGCUGACAUGAGUCGACAGGGGAUUAUUUGGGCUUAUUUUAGACAAACCGAAAUCGGAAACUUUAGCAGCCCAACUUUCAUCUAACA
rnacentral:lncRNA from 1 species